rnacentral:rRNA from 1 species
CCGGCGGCUAUACAUGCAGUCGAGCGGACAGAUGGGAGCUUGCUCCCUGAUGUUAGCGGCGGACGGGUGAGUAACACGUGGGUAACCUGCCUGUAAGACUGGGAUAACUCCGGGAAACCGGGGCUAAUACCGGAUGGUUGUUUGAACCGCAUGGUUCAAACAUAAAAGGUGGCUUCGGCUACCACUUACAGAUGGACCCGCGGCGCAUUAGCUAGUUGGUGAGGUAACGGCUCACCAAGGCAACGAUGCGUAGCCGACCUGAGAGGGUGAUCGGCCACACUGGGACUGAGACACGGCCCAGACUCCUACGGGAGGCAGCAGUAGGGAAUCUUCCGCAAUGGACGAAAGUCUGACGGAGCAACGCCGCGUGAGUGAUGAAGGUUUUCGGAUCGUAAAGCUCUGUUGUUAGGGAAGAACAAGUACCGUUCGAAUAGGGCGGUACCUUGACGGUACCUAACCAGAAAGCCACGGCUAACUACGUGCCAGCAGCCGCGGUAAUACGUAGGUGGCAAGCGUUGUCCGGAAUUAUUGGGCGUAAAGGGCUCGCAGGCGGUUUCUUAAGUCUGAUGUGAAAGCCCCCGGCUCAACCGGGGAGGGUCAUUGGAAACUGGGGAACUUGAGUGCAGAAGAGGAGAGUGGAAUUCCACGUGUAGCGGUGAAAUGCGUAGAGAUGUGGAGGAACACCAGUGGCGAAGGCGACUCUCUGGUCUGUAACUGACGCUGAGGAGCGAAAGCGUGGGGAGCGAACAGGAUUAG